AAUCAACGCUGGCGGCGUGCCUAACACAUGCAAGUCGAACGCGAAAGCCCCGCAAGGGGUAAGUAGAGUGGCCAACGGGUGAGUAACACGUGGGUGACCUGCCUUCGAGUGGGGGAUAACGUCCCGAAAGGGACGCUAAUACCGCAUGACAUCCUGCUUUUGAAAAAGCGGAGAUCAAAGCUGGGGAUCGCAAGACCUAGCGCUUGAAGAGGGGCCCGCGCCUGAUUAGCUAGUUGGUGAGGUAACGGCUCACCAAGGCGACGAUCAGUAUCCGGCCUGAGAGGGCGGACGGACACACUGGGACUGAGACACGGCCCAGACUCCUACGGGAGGCAGCAGUGGGGAAUUGUUCGCAAUGGGCGCAAGCCUGACGACGCAACGCCGCGUGGAGGACGAAGAUCUUCGGGUCGUAAACUCCUGUCGAGCGGGACGAACGCUUCGCGGAUGAAUAAUCCGCGGAAUUGACGGUACCGCUAAAGGAAGCCCCGGCUAACUCCGU
rnacentral:rRNA from 1 species